GGAUGCCCUCCGUCGUCACCCCUAGGAGCCCUCCGUCGUCAUCCUUAAACGGGUUACCCGCGUUCGGACGCCGUCGUGCGGCGCACAGGCUCCUGCCGGAAGCCCAACAUUUCGGAAAAGACCGCCUGCUCCUUACUGCAUGGGGUCAAACUCU
rnacentral:rRNA from 1 species